rnacentral:lncRNA from 1 species
CAUAAGCUCUGGCUGACCUUUUAGUAGCCAUAACAGUGGCAGAGAAACAAUAAAGAUACAUCAAGCAAGAGUUCCGUCUUGCCACUGGGCUACCCAGGGCAUGAACCAGAGUAUUGUAUGGAAUUUGUGCUCCUAAAUUUGGUCCUGGUGAGACAACCUCUUGCAAAUAGCAUCCUCUUCCCCAGUUGUUAG